rnacentral:rRNA from 1 species
AGCAAUACUUUGAUGAGAGUGGCGCACGGGUGCGUAACGCGUAUGCAACCUACCUUUAACUGGGAGAUAGCCCCGAGAAAUCGGGAUUAAUACCCCAUAACAUUACGAAUUGGCAUCAAUUUGUGAUUAAAGCUCCGGCGGUUAGAGAUGGGCAUGCGUGACAUUAGCUGGUUGGUGAGGUAACGGCUCACCAAGGCAACGAUGUCUAGGGGUCCUGAGAGGGUUAUCCCCCACACUGGUACUGAGACACGGACCAGACUCCUACGGGAGGCAGCAGUAAGGAAUAUUGGUCAAUGGGCGCAAGCCUGAACCAGCCAUGCCGCGUGCAGGAAGACGGCCCUAUGGGUUGUAAACUGCUUUUAUCAGGGAAUAAACCCCCGCUCGUGAGCGGGGCUGAAGGUACCUGAGGAAUAAGCAUCGGCUAACUCCGUGCCA